rnacentral:rRNA from 1 species
ACGCUCGACACCUACGGGAGGCAGCAGUGGGGAAUAUUGGGCAAUGGAGGCAACUCUGACCCAGCAACGCCGCGUGAAUGAUGAAGGUCUUCGGAUUGUAAAGUUCUGUGACGGGGGACGAACACAAUGACGGUACCCCGAUAGCAAGCCACGGCUAACUACGUGCCACAGCCGCGGUAAUCUGAGCGGCUGGCAAGGC